rnacentral:lncRNA from 1 species
AUUUAGAAGUCUUGGCCCAGUAUUUGACCUCAUCCUUGGCUUCCUGUACAUAAGUGAGGAGAACUGAUGACGACGGGGCGCCUUGCACUGAACCGAAUCAGCAGAUGUGGCCCAGAUUAUUGAACCCAGGAGGGUGGUGCUCAGCUCCAGCGAUCUCAGCCUGGCCUAAGCACCUGCUCAGCAGGAGUUAAUGGAUACCAUGGAGGUGUAUCUGCCUUCCUCUCCCAGAAGACUACAGAGGGACUGGUGUGGGUGUUGUAGCCAACAAAAACACGGACUAGGCAGUCUGCAGUACCAGACCUGUAAGACAAAAUGCAGCUGUGUGCAAUACCGGGGAAAGGAUGCCCAAGAGAGGCCAACACUUACAGCACACAGUCCGACUGCC